GCUUUGCCACUGAGCUAAAUCCCCUGCCCAAAUUGGGGUGAUUGAGAGAUUAGCGUAGUCCCUGCACAAGGAUGAUAUGCAAAUUUGUGAUGCAUUCCAUAUUUUA
rnacentral:snRNA from 1 species